UAGGGAAUCUUCCGCAAUGGGCGAAAGCCUGACGGAGCAACGCCGCGUGAGUGAUGAAGGUCUUCGGAUCGUAAAACUCUGUUAUUAGGGAAGAACAAAUGUGUAAGUAACUAUGCACGUCUUGACGGUACCUAAUCAGAAAGCCACGGCUAACUACGUGCCAGCAGCCGCGGUAAUACGUAGGUGGCAAGCGUUAUCCGGAAUUAUUGGGCGUAAAGCGCGCGUAGGCGGUUUUUUAAGUCUGAUGUGAAAGCCCACGGCUCAACCGUGGAGGGUCAUUGGAAACUGGAAAACUUGAGUGCAGAAGAGGAAAGUGGAAUUCCAUGUGUAGCGGUGAAAUGCGCAGAGAUAUGGAGGAACACCAGUGGCGAAGGCGACUUUCUGGUCUGUAACUGACGCUGAUGUGCGAAAGCGUGGGGAUCAAACAGGAUUAGGUACCCUGGUAGUCCACGCCGUAACGAUGAGUGCUAAGUGUUAGGGGGUUUCCGCCCCUUAGUGCUGCAGCUAACGCAUUAAGCACUCCGCCUGGGGAGUACGACCGCAAGGUUG
rnacentral:rRNA from 1 species